rnacentral:sRNA from 2 species
GCGGCGCCAAGGCCGAGUCCGCCCGGGCCCGUCGGGGCCGAGCGGAGCCGGGGACCCACGUUCCACGGGGUGAAUCGGUGCGCUUCCAGCACGCCGUAGGGCUCUUCCAUGCCCGAAUCCGACAGCUAACCCGGUAGGCCCAAUGGGAGACAAG